CGUGCGACUGCGGACGACAUUAUCGAGUUUUGAAUGGGUUGUCUGCUGGCUCGCAAGGGCAUGUGCACGCCUGUCUCAUCCACUCUCAACUUCUGUGCACUUUUCAUAGGCCGGCUUGUGGGUGCGUUCGCGCACUUGUAGGUGUCGGGCUUAUGCUUUACUACAAACGAUUCAGUUUUAGAAUGUCAUACUUUGCUAUAACGCAAUUAUAUACAACUUUCAGCAACGGAUCUCUUGGCUCUCGCAUCGAUGAAGAACGCAGCGAAAUGCGAUAAGUAAUGUGAAUUGCAGAAUUCAGUGAAUCAUCGAAUCUUUGAACGCACCUUGCGCUCCUUGGUAUUCCGAGGAGCAUGCCUGUUUGAGUCUCAUGGAAUUCUCAACCUUCAGCUUUAUUGAUGAAGGCUUGGACUUGGAGGUCGUGCCGGCUCUCGUAGUCGGCUCCUCUGAAAUGCAUUAGUGCGAACGUUACCAGCCGCUUCAGCGUGAUAAUUAUCUGCGUUGCUGUGGAGGGUAUUCUAGUGUUCACGCUUCUAACCGUCUUCGGACAAAUUUCUGAACUCUGAGCUCAAAUCAGGUAGGACUACCCGCUGAACUUAAGCAUUUA
rnacentral:rRNA from 1 species